UCUAGUGUUGGCCAACACACUCUGUCAGUCUGUCCUUGCCUCUUUUUCUGCUGUUUCACUUCAUUGCACACAGGUAGGUGAGUUAGCUGUGUAUCCCCAGAGGCCAGGUCUUGGGAAGCAUGGCGAAGUAGGAGAGGACGAAAAUAAUGCAGGGAAGUGGGUGUGAGAGUGGAGGCAGGUACUGGAAGGUCUUGUGCACCUGUAGUGUUUUUGGCAGUGAUGGCUUUUCCAUAGGUGGUUUGCUGUUCUUGCAGAGGGCAGCGGAGCAUCUGCAGGAAGCGGACCUGCACAAUCUAGCUGUUUAGCUUUGCAGUGCAGCCGAGGAGCGCUCUUGUAAUGUUGGAGGAGCAGUCGUACUGAGAUUGGUCAGAUGAGAGAUCGGCCAACCUGUGGCAGAGACCAAGGAAGGAACAGCCACCCGGAGCCCAUCCCUAGGGAUGGAAGCCGGACAAUGAUCUGCAGAUACCACGGAGAAAGAAGUGAAGGGUAAGAGCCCACCCCCGUUGUGAGAUGGAAAGCACCAAGAGCCGUGAGACCACAAGCGUUGUCGAUGCCAGCCUAUGGCGAUGCCGUCGAUCUGGGAGUGGAGCAGCCGUCACCAUCAGUGAGAUAAGUGUCUGGUUUGGGGAGGACUCCGGUAACGGCCCACCUGCCUCCAGGCUGAGACUUGUCAUUAGCUGGGGCUCGGUUUGUAGGAAAAGAUUCCUGACCUGCUGUGGUUACGAGGGAGACAAGGUCCCCAUUUUCAGGGGCAGGUCUUUUCUCUGUCCACAAACAGUGUGUCCUACGCAGCAGAAGGUUGGAUCGAGGAGGAUGACUCCAGCUGUUGAGUUUCUUGACUCCAUCCCACAUUU